CGGGAGCGCCGCGAGCGGGCGGCUCGGCCCGGCCCGGCCUGGCCUGGCCUGCGCGGCGGCCCGGCCGUGACGGAUACAAAGGAUGGAGUCAAAACCCUCAAGAAUUCCUCGCAGGAUAUCUCUUCAGCCUUCCAGCUCUCCUGUAGGAUCUAGAACUGGAAACAGUUUAUCUGGUGCAUAUAGUACAAGAGAAUCUUCAUGGGGAUUAGAAUCUGGAUACCAGGAAUCCGGUGUAUUGAAUAGUUCCAGUAGAGACUGGAGAAUUGGAGAGAGGGACACCCGUGAAACUCCUUGGAAGCUUACAGCGUCAUCUCCAACGCGCUACUCAGGGACACUUGAUCACCCUCAUUCUGGAAGAUUUUUGGGAAGCAGAGGCAGAUUGUCUACAUCUUCCUCUCAUUUCACAUCUGGAUCUUAUGGUGAGUCUGAGAGAACUCAGGGAGCGUGGGACAUGGGAGCAUGUCCAAGAUUGCAUAGCCAGCAGCAAGAUAGUGAUUCAAAGAGACCUAAACUAUCUUGUACAUCUACCUCUUCUGUGAGAAGUAAUGGCUUGGCUGCCUUUUCAGAUUCCUCCUGGAGAUGCAGUAGGAUUCCUAGAUCUUCAUCAGUAAUGCUUGGCUCCCUUGGAAGUGAUCUGGUUAGAGAGCGAACACCGUUAGAAAGAAGAACAGAUCUGUCUGUUAAUAACCUGCUGGAUCCCAGCUAUGGAAACAGUGACUUUUCACCUUCGACAUAUCUUCAAGACAGGCCUGCCUCUUCAUAUGCAGAGGGAGCAAGACCAAAAGAAAACUCCUUAAGCACUUUGAGGCUGAAUGCACCCAUGAACCGCCAGUUGCCUUCUGAUCAUCAGCCAUCUUUUUUCAACAGAGACUCUAACGUGAGCUCUUCAAGAUCCAGCUAUUCUUUAAGACAAAGGAGAAAUGAAUUGGAAUCUCCCCAGAGGAGUGUGCAGCCAGCAUUUUCUCUUAGUGCCGUUAGAGAUGAAACCCCUUCCUCAAGUGGUUCCGAAAGGAUUUUAUCUUCUCAGAGGUCAUUGAAUGAGUCUGCAGCUGACAGUGAAGGGAGGCGCACAACCAGACAGCUGCUGUCUCGUUUAGCAUCUAGUAUGUCAUCCACAUUUUUCUCUCGGAGGUCUAGCCAAGACCCAUUGCAUACAAGAUCGUUAGGCCCUGAAGAGUCAACAGCGGUCCCAAGAGUUCAAGCUACUGCUCUGUCAAGUAGUAAUGGAGCUGCAACUCCGGGGGUUCCAGGACUUCAGUCAUCUGAAACUUCUCAGGGGUUCAGUUUUCUUGGACGAAGGUGGGGUUUAUCAGGAGUUUCACAGAAUCGCAGCUCUGAUUCUGAUGGGGAAAGUUACAGACCAGACACUGAAAGUAGGAGCACAGGAUCCUGGUUGUCGUCCUCUUUGAGGAACAGAUGUACACCUCUCUUUUCCAGAAGAAGAAGAGAAGGAAGAGAUGAAUCUGCAAGGAUCUCUACCCCUGAUUCAACUGCUAGAUCACAACAUGUCUUUAGAAGGAGAGAGUCAGGUGAGGACACCUCUCUUGAAGCAUCAGAUAGCCCUCCUCGGUCUUCUGUGAGCAGACCAACGCCUGCAGUAUCUGUUAUUUCUACAGCUACUGCCUCCCUACCAGAUUCAGCCUCCAGUGGAAGAGGUUCAGGAAUUCUGCCUGCUUCUCUCUUUCGCUUUGCAGUGCCUCCAACAUUAGGAAGCAGUCUGUCUGACAAUCUUAUGAUAACUGUAGAUAUUAUUCCCUCUGGCUGGAAUCAGUCUGAUGGACAAGAAAGUGGCAAGUCUAAAAUACCACCUUCAAGAGAUCCAGAAAGACUCCAGAAAAUAAAGGAAAGCCUGCUUUUAGAAGAUUCUGAAGAUGAAGAGGGUGACAUAUGCAGAAUUUGUCAGAUGUCCUCUUCAAGUUCUGACAACCUUUUAAUAGAGCCAUGCAAAUGCACUGGAAGUCUGCAGUAUGUUCACCAGGAGUGCAUGAAAAAAUGGCUGCAGUCGAAGAUAAAUUCAGGUUCUUCUUUGGAAGCAGUGACAACUUGUGAAUUGUGCAAAGAGAAGUUGCAUCUCAAUCUGGAAGACUUUGACAUUCAUGAACUUUAUAGGGCACAUGCAAAUGAACAAGCAGACUAUGAAUUUAUCAGCUCUGGUCUCUACCUUGUAGUGUUGUUACACUUAUGCGAGCAGCGCUUUUCUGAUAUGUUAGGAACUGCAAAUGAGGCCAGCACACGUGUCAGAUUUAUUAACCUUGCAAGAACUCUUCAGGCACAUAUGGAAGAUAUUGAAAGUAGGUGCUUCCCCUCUUUUCCUCCCCUCCCACUAGAUCAACUCAAAGCUAAUGAGUGCAAUCCUCCUUGCCAAGAUUCAUAAUACUGAACAUGAUUACUGAAAACCUUACUCAGCAGUGCUUUUUCCAUCAUCAGUAGAAUUAUUCUGAGGAGGAACCAAUUUAAUUCUCCAUUAUUAACUUCCCAACAGCACUGAGUUGUUUAGACCACGGUAGUGUUAUCUGGAAUCGGUAACAAAAUUCCUUAGUAGUUACAGUUUGGUUAUUGUAGUUCUGGUAAUUCAUAAUUACAGGAUAAAUGGUGACCUUCAGGUUGCUGCCUUUUACAAGAGAAAGUAGGAAAAAAAGUAGUAUGAAAGAAACAUUUAGAAUUGAAUUUUACUAAUUGAAUUGAAUUACUGUGUUUAAAUUAGACACUUGUAUUGCCAGUUUUCUUCUCUUUCUUUUUCUUGCCCUCUUCCCCCCUUUGUUUUUUCCAUUCAUACACACUUUUUGGUUGUGUGGGUUCCUUGAUCAGAUCUGUCAGACCUCUUGAAUGAAGUCAGAAGGUUGCCAAUUUUGGCAAACCAAAGGAUUAGCCUACUUUUCAUCUAUUGGGUUUUUUUUUAAUGUGUUUAAAUUCAACACUAUAUGCUGAUACAUCUAAAUUUCUGGUAAAUGUACUCUGGAUCUAUUUCUGAGCAUGUUGAAUAGGCAGUAGAAGGGUAGUUGGUCUACCCUUUUUUUCGUAGUGUGCAUGUGUCUGUCAACUUCAUAUGGGUUUUCAGUACACAGGAUGCAUUUGGAAUACUAUAAAGAAAGGGAGUGUGUGUGUGUGUGUGUGUGUGUGUGAAAGAGGGAGCUCUGGUUCAAGGUGAUUAUUUCUGCAUUCAGAGCGGUCAAAAGUAGACUUGAGUUAUGAAUUCAUUCCUAAGUUAUGUGCAUCCUUACUAGAGGAAAAAAUAAUGAGUGUCAUUUAACUCCUUAGUUCAGUCUAUAUUUGAUUCAGCCUUUAACUUGCAGGUGAGGAAUACUGAGUUCUAGAUUUAUUAUUGAUGCGCUUCAGUUACAUUUCUCUUCUAAGAGCUGAAGAAGCAAGGAGUCAGACUUUUCUUCUUUCUGUGUUCAGGGAUGGAACAUGUUACUCCACUAUAAAUACUUUCUUGUCUGCAGACCUGGCUUAAGAGGACACAUUAAAUUCCUGUUACAGAGAGGCUAGCAUGUUACAAACCUAAUGUAGAUGUGUGCAUGGGCUUUUCUACCAUAGUUGACAAGUGUAUAUUUGUCUUUUGACUCACCUUGCAACGACAAAUCCUGUGCAUAUGCGGGCGUUGUGUUCAUCUUGCAUAUGCUGAAAGGACUGGAGUGGAGAGAGGAGCUUCUUCCAAGUAGGCCUAGCUUCUGAAGAUGACUCUGAAGACUGAUGCUGGUAGAACUUUCAUACUGCAAGAAACAAACAGAAUUGCUGCAGAAAUGCUG